rnacentral:rRNA from 1 species
CUUUUAUCCAAAAUAGUGCCGGUUGGGUGAGUAACACGUGGGUAACCUACCCCUUAGAGGGGGGAUAACAUUCGGAAACGGAUGCUAAUACCGCAUAGUUUCAGGAAUCGCAUGAUUCGUGAAGGAAAGGUGGUUUCGGCUACCACUAAUGGAUGGACCCGCGGCGUAUUAGCUAGUUGGUGAGGUAAUGGCUCACCAAGGCAAUGAUACGUAGCCGACCUGAGAGGGUGAUCGGCCACACUGGGACUGAGACACGGCCCAGACUCCUACGGGAGGCAGCAGUAGGGAAUCUUCCGCAAUGGACGAAAGUCUGACGGAGCAACGCCGCGUGAGUGAAGAAGGUUUUCGGAUCGUAAAACUCUGUUGUUAAAGAAGGACAAGGAUGAGAGUAACUGCUCAUCCCCUGACGGUAUUUAACCAGAAAGCCACGGCUAACUACGUGCCAGCAGCCGCGGUAAUACGUAGGUGGCAAGCGUUGUCCGGAUUUAUUGGGCGUAAAGCGAGCGCAGGCGGUUCUUUAAGUCUGAUGUGAAAGCCCCCGGCUCAACCGGGGAGGGUCAUUGGAAACUGGAGAACUUGAGUGCAGAAGAGGAGAGUGGAAUUCCACGUGUAGCGGUGAAAUGCGUAGAUAUGUGGAGGAACACCAGUGGCGAAGGCGACUCUCUGGUCUGUAACUGACGCUGAGGCUCGAAAGCGUGGGGAGCAAACAGG